CCACGGCUCAACCGUGGAACUGCAUCGGAAACUGUCAUUCUUGAGUGCAGAAGAGGAGAGUGGAAUUCCAUGUGUAGCGGUGGAAUGCGUAGAUAUAUGGAAGAACACCAGUGGCGAAGGCGGCUCUUGGUCUGCAACUGACGCUGAGGCUCGAAAGCAUGGGUAGCGAACAGGAUUAGAUACCCUGGUAGUCCAUGCCGUAAACGAUGACCGCUAGGUGUUGGGGACUUUCCGGUCCUCAGUGCCGCAGCAAACGCAUUAAGCGCUCCGCCCUGGGGAGUACGACCGCAAGGUUGAAACUCAAAGGAAUUUGACGGGGGGCCCGCACAACCGGNGGAGCAUGGGGGUUAAUU
rnacentral:rRNA from 1 species